CUCCAGCUUGCUGGAGUGGAUCAGUGGCGAACGGGUGAGUAACACGUGAGCAACCUGCCCCUGACUCUGGGAUAACAGUCGGAAACGAUUGCUAAUACCGGAUAUGCACCAUGAACGCAUGUUCUGUGGUGGGAAAGAUUUUUUGGUUGGGGAUGGGCUCGCGGCCUAUCAGCUUGUUGGUGAGGUAAUGGCUCACCAAGGCGUCGACGGGUAGCCGGCCUGAGAGGGUGACCGGCCACACUGGGACUGAGACACGGCCCAGACUCCUACGGGAGGCAGCAGUGGGGAAUAUUGCACAAUGGGCGAAAGCCUGAUGCAGCAACGCCGCGUGAGGGAUGACGGCCUUCGGGUUGUAAACCUCUUUUAGCAGGGAAGAAGCGAGAGUGACGGUACCUGCAGAAAAAGCGCCGGCUAACUACGUGCCAGCAGCCGCGGUAAUACGUAGGGCGCAAGCGUUAUCCGGAAUUAUUGGGCGUAAAGAGCUCGUAGGCGGUUUGUCGCGUCUGCUGUGAAAACUGGAGGCUCAACCUCCAGCCUGCAGUGGGUACGGGCAGACUAGAGUGCGGUAGGGGAGAUUGGAAUUCCUGGUGUAGCGGUGGAAUGCGCAGAUAUCAGGAGGAACACCGAUGGCGAAGGCAGAUCUCUGGGCCGUAACUGACGCUGAGGAGCGAAAGGGUGGGGAGCAAACAGGCUUAGAUACCCUGGUAGUCCACCCCGUAAACGUUGGGAACUAGUUGUGGGGGCCUUUCCACGGUCUCCGUGACGCAGCUAACGCAUUAAGUUCCCCGCCUGGGGAGUACGGCCGCAAGGCUAAAACUCAAAGGAAUUGACGGGGACCCGCACAAGCGGCGGAGCAUGCGGAUUAAUUCGAUGCAACGCGAAGAACCUUACCAAGGCUUGACAUAUACGAGAACGGG
rnacentral:rRNA from 1 species